GCCGGGCGUGGUGGCUCACGCCUGUAAUCCCAGCACUUUGGGAGGCCGAGAUGAGUGCAUCACCUGAGGUCAGGAGUUCUAGACCAGCCUGGCCAACAUGGUGAAACCCCGUCUCUA
rnacentral:SRP_RNA from 1 species